AGACCCGAAACCCGGUGAUCUAGCCAUGGGCAGGUUGAAGGUUGGGUAACACUAACUGGAGGACCGAACCGACUAAUGUUGAAAAAUUAGCGGAUGACCUGUGGCUGGGGGUGAAAGGCCAAUCAAACCGGGAGAUAGCUGGUUCUCCCCGAAAGCUAUUUAGGUAGCGCCUCGUGAAUUCAUCUCCGGGGGUAGAGCACUGUUUCGGCUAGGGGGCCAUCCCGGCUUACCAACCCGAUGCAAACUGCGAAUACCGGAGAAUGUUAUCACGGGAGACACACGGCGGGUGCUAACGUCCGUCGUGAAGAGGGAAACAACCCAGACCGCCAGCUAAGGUCCCAAAGUCAUGGUUAAGUGGGAAACGAUGUGGGAAGGCCCAGACAGCCAGGAUGUUGGCUUAGAAGCAGCCAUCAUUUAAAGAAAGCGUAAUAGCUCACUGGUCGAGUCGGCCUGCGCGGAAGAUGUAACGGGGCUAAACCAUGCACCGAAGCUGCGGCAGCGACACUGUGUGUUGUUGGGUAGGGGAGCGUUCUGUAAGCCUGUGAAGGUGUGUCGUGAGGCAUGCUGGAGGUAUCAGAAGUGCGAAUGCUGACAUAAGUAACGAUAAAGCGGGUGAAAAGCCCGCUCGCCGGAAGACCAAGGGUUCCUGUCCAACGUUAAUCGGGGCAGGGUGAGUCGACCCCUAAGGCGAGGCCGAAAGGCGUAGUCGAUGGGAAACGGGUUAAUAUUCCCGUACUUGGUGUUACUGCGAAGGGGGGACGGAGAAGGCUAUGUUGGCCGGGCGACGGUUGUCCCGGUUUAAGCGUGUAGGUGUGUGUUCCAGGUAAAUCCGGUUCACUUUAACACUGAGGCGUGACGACGAGGCACUACGGUGCUGAAGCAACAAAUGCCCUGCUUCCAGGAAAAGCCUCUAAGCAUCAGGUAACAUCAAAUCGUACCCCAAACCGACACAGG
rnacentral:rRNA from 2 species